CUGCCUGUGGAUUGAUUGUUGUUCUUGGCAUCAAGAUGAUGUUAAUUUAAUUUUUAACAUUGUGAAUACUGAGAUGAUUUUUUCUAAGAGUACAGAUGAUGAAGAUGAGAGUGAUUGUAAUACUAAUACCAGCACGAUCCAAACGUCUAUGAAAAAGAAAGCUAAGUGAGUGUUUUUUAUUACAGAUGGUAGGACACAAGUAAGUAGUUAGGUGCAUAACCGAAGCAGCAUACUGCAUAAUACGAAGAAAAGAAUUUGGAAUUGAGCAUGAUGGAAAAGGAAAUGAGCGCAUAACAGAGACUGAAUCUUACAAGUUGGGGCUGAAACAGAGAAGGCAGAGAGUUUUUUCAUCAAUUUGGAUCAAACUCUAUAAAGUGGCUUGAUGAAAAAAUUAUCAUCAUAAAGAUUUACAGAGAGGCAAACAAAGAAAGAGCACAAAUUUUGGUCAGAAAUGAAACAGAAUCCAGAUCUACUUCUGUUGAGUUUUCUUGUGGAAUAGAUGCUGAACUCUUAAACAGAAUGAUGCAGGCAAUUCACUUUCAAUCCAAUCCAAUAAUAUUUGCUGAACAUGGACUGUGUAACAAUAGUCUGUCAGGUGGUAGAUCAGAAGUGGAAAAGAAAUAAUAUCAUGAAAA